AUACGGGGGGUGCAAGCGUUAAUCGGAAUUACUGGGCGUAAAGCGCGCGUAGGCGGUUUGCUCAGUCGGAUGUGAAAGCCCAGGGCUCGACCUUGGAACUGCAUACGAUACUGGCAAACUAGAGUGUGAGAGAGGAUAGUGGAAUUUCCGGUGUAGCGGUGAAAUGCGUAGAUAUCGGAAGGAACAUCAGUGGCGAAGGCGACUGUCUGGCUCAACACUGACGCUGAGGUGCGAAAGCGUGGGUAGCAAACAGGAUUAGAAACCCUAGUAGUCC
rnacentral:rRNA from 1 species